rnacentral:rRNA from 1 species
UACGUAGGCAGCAAGCGUUGUUCGGAAUUACUGGGCGUAAAGAGUGUGUAGGCGGUGCUCUAAGUUCGGUGUGAAAUCUCCCGCUUAACUGGGAGGGUGCGCCGGAAACUGGAGUGCUCGAGCGUGGGAGAGGAAAGCGGAAGUUCCUGGUGUAGCGGUGAAAUGCGUAGAUAUCAGGAGGAACACCUGCGGUGUAGACGGCUUCUGGACCAUUGCUGACGCUGAGACACGAAAGCGUGGGUAGCAAACAGG